rfam:Salmo salar isolate Sally breed double haploid chromosome ssa03, whole genome shotgun sequence.
AAUGCACCAAUUUGUAAGUCGCUUUGGAUAAGAACGUCUGCUAAAUGACUUAAA